CUUCUACACAAGUUUCUCACAACCUCACAAAAGAUGGCAGCCAAGUCAGUCUGAGAUGGAUGUCUGCUGGCACCGGCGUGAAUCUGGGUGUUCCUCUCCCGCUAAAGCCCUGCCAUCCUAUCCUGAAUCACUCAAAGCUGUAACUAUUGUAACCUGACAGGCCAAUUACUACUGCAGCAGCCACAGAGUGAUGGAUGCCAUGCUGCUUUUCUUUUGCAGGCACAUCAACCCAUCACUGAUGAAAGACUCAAAGUGUUCUUACAUCUUGUAUGAGUUGCAUCAUUUGAUGAGAAAAGAUCAGGUACCGUGUCACAUCAGAACAACAGGACGGGCCUCGCACGGGUUUCGGCUUUCACACACUUCAUUUCGUUCCGUGCAGUGGGCUGAUCGGAUUUCUAAUCUGGUUUAUGAGACAAUUAUAUCUUAUAUACUGUAGUAUUUACGCUGGGAAUAAAACUUUACUAUCACUUUAAACAGAGCCACAUUUGUAACCGAAACUUUCAUUUUUUAUCACGUUUAUAACAAAAAAAAA